rnacentral:rRNA from 1 species
GUACACGCUGUGACUAGCAUAUCAAUAAGCGGAGGAAAAGAAACUAACAAGGAUUCCCCUAGUAACGGCGAGUGAAGCGGGAAGAGCUCAAAUUUGAAAUCUUAAAGGGUUUCCCUUUACGAAUUGUAGUUUAAAGAAGUGUUUUCUGUUGAGGUUUUGGUAAAAGUUCUUUGGAAUAGGACAUCAUAGAGGGUGAGAAUCCCGUAUUUGACCUUUACUUUCAACUUUGUGAUACACUUUCAAAGAGUCGGAUUGUUUGAGAAUGCAGUCCAAAAUGGGUGGUAAAUUUCAUCUAAAGCUAAAUAUUGGCGAGAGACCGAUAGCGAACAAGUACCGUGAGGGAAAGAUGAAAAGAACUUUGAAAAGAGAGUUAAACAGUACGUGAAAUUGUCAAAAGGGAAGCGUUUGACACCAGUGUUGUUCUUCUGAAAAUCAAUUAAAGAGCUGUUUAUGCUAAGUUGUUUAGACUUUAUCAGCUAAUCUGUUUAGUUUUGAGCUUUUCUUUAAUGCACUUUUCAGUUAACAAGUCAACAUCAAUUUCUUUUGCUGUAAAAAAGCUUGAGGAAGGUGGCUUGAGAUUCGUCUUAAGUGUUUAUAGCCUCUUGCCUAUGCAGUCGGAGAGAUUGAGGUCUGCAGCGUAGAUCCUUCGGGGCUAAAUGCAUUUGUGCUAAGUUAUAGCAUUUUAUAGACAACUUGUUGACUAUGAUUUGUCUUGUAGCUUACUCGCUUAUGUUAUUUUACCUACGCUUAGGAUGUUGAAGAUGUAGCACAUCAU